rnacentral:rRNA from 1 species
UGGGGAAUUUUCCGCAAUGGGCGCAAGCCUGACGGAGCAACGCCGCGUGAGGGAGGAAUGUCUGUGGAUUGUAAACCUCUUUUCUCUAGGAAGAAGCUCUGACGGUACUAGAGGAAUCAGCAUCGGCUAACUCCGUGCCAGCAGCCGCGGUAAGACGGAGGAUGCAAGCGUUAUCCGGAAUUAUUGGGCGUAAAGCGUCCGUAGGCGGUUAUUUAAGUCAGUUGUUAAAGACUGCAGCUCAACUGUGGGAGAGCAACUGAAACUGGAUAACUAGAGUAUGGUAGGGGUAGAGGGAAUUUCCAGUGUAGCGGUGAAAUGCGUAGAGAUUGGAAAGAACACCAGUGGCGAAGGCGCUCUACUGGACCUGUACUGACACUAAGGGACGAAAGCGAGGGGAGCGAAAGGGAUUAGAUACCCCCGUAGUCC